CAGUUUACGUGUGAAGGAGAGAGGAACAGCAGACCAAAGAGAUCUCAAGUCAGCACAGCCAUAGAAAUCACUGCAUUAGCACAGAGAGUUGAGACAGCCUCACAACCCAGCAAUAACAUCACUCACGGUGGCCAAGAUUAAUCACUCGCCUCUACUCUAUCUGUAUCGCGAAUGGUUUGUUCCUUGCUGGUGGUCUCUCCAUACCUGUUUGUGUCUGUGAUACUGGGGGUUCAAUGCCACAGAUAUCGAGGGGCGAACUACAGGCACUCAAACAGAAAACACGGAAGAUUGAAGCCAUAUGUCUGAAGCAGGAAACACUGAAAGAUGGACCCAUUGAAAUUUUGACUACAGUUUCCAUGUUGUUUUUCCUCUGAUUCAUUGAGAGCUCUUGAAUCUAUUGACUCUUUCUCACAAAAUUCUGUCCAUCACAUUUUCAAACAAUAAUGAUGGGAAAC